UAAAACAAUUUCUUCUGUAAGAAGGGUUAGAGUUGUUCAAACAGGUCCCCCACUCCUGUAUUUGUCAGGUUUGUUUUUUCUCCAAGGAACAAAAAUCCAACUUCAAUUAAAUUGGAAGCAAAUGGAUUAAUUUGUGUAACGGAAAACUCUCUGAGCAGAGAGCCAAGCCUUCAGUGUGGCUGGGUCAGAGCCCCACAGGACGUCAUAAAGUCUGUCACUCUUGCUCCGACAGUCUGUUUCCACAUGUUCUCUGUCUCUAUGUCUCAAUUUGCUAUGUUAUGGGUUUUUCCCUGAUUUUUCCUGCUGCUGACUACUUCGUGUGGCAAAUGAAAAUAGCUACAAAUCCCCUCAUUUGCAUUUUCCUUUCAUCUGGUGAUUUAAGAAGAAACAAGAACAUCUCCUCCAAAGCUCUGGGAGAAGAAAUCUUGGGAAGAACAUUAAUUGACCCAGUUUGCGCCACAUGCACAUGUCUGAAUGAAUCAUGGCAACCAAGGGCAUGGAGAGGCGUGGGCCACAAGCCCUGGGGUGGAAACUCUCCCAUGUGGCAGCUGGCCCUGCCCAGGAGUAUGGUCAGACCAGAAAGAGAGUCACUGCUGAGUGAUUCUGCCAUCUGACUUCCUCAGCCCAGAGCACAUUCAAUUUAGUUCAUAAGGACGAAUGACUCUGAUUCCACAUAAAAGUGAGCUCACUCCUUUGAAAUGACGGAAAGCACACACUUCAAUUUGUUAUUGUUUUUCCUCAUACUGAAAUAAAGCACUGAAGCUCAAAAUAGAGGUAGCAGUGUUGUCCCUAAGCUGAAAGCAAGUGAAAAUCACAGUCAUGUGCAGCAGCUACUUUUUCUGAAGUCAGAUACCAUCAGCAAGGUCUAACUAAGGUUGGAAAAGGCAGUUACUCUUAUUGAAGAGUGCCCAGACCCAGACACAACUGUAUCUUGUAGAGAAAGAACUGGAUCAUGAAUGGUGAAGGUGAACAAGAAUAUCUAGCUUUGUUUAGGAAGAAGGGUGAAGAGAGAUAAAGGCACACGGAUCAGAUGAACACUUUUGAGAACCUACAAGCUGUGUCAGUGGCAGUUGCUGUGGUGCUAAAAUAAGUGAAGCAGAAGGGUUCUAUGCCUGGGAAUCAAAUGGCAUCAAUAACAAUGGCAACCAGGAUCGCCAAGAAAUGAUUCAGGGAGAAGGGAGCUUUCUCUCCCAAAUAUACAUAUCUCAAUGUGAGAAGAGAGGUGGACAGAGUUGGAGAAACUAGAAUUGCUCCUUCCUACCACUAACCUCUCCCAUCAACAGAUUGUAGCAAGGAGUAAACGUCCUCAGUUACUGGACCAGCUGUGGACUCACUGGUCAAAGUGGACGAGCACAGUUUUUCCUCAGAGAUUUGGAUAUGGCAAGUAAAAAGAAAGCAAUUUUCCCCUCUUUAAUGGCUAACCCUGUAACGUUUGGGAGAUGUUAAUGGGCAUAAUUUCCACCAUAGGGCCAAGAUAAGGGGAAUCCACUAGAGAGGAAGAGAAAAGGAUCAAGUGGAGGUUCAGAAAGGUGAAGAUGAGAGACAAGGAGAGUCCUGCUGGCUGUGAAGUUCCCCUUCCAGUUCCUGAGACCUCACAGCAUUCUUGUCCUGGGAUUCUAUGAGACACUCCAGUGUUUUUUUGACUUACUAUUAAUGAAUUGUUUUUUUCCUUAAAUUAAUCUGAAUGAGUUCUGACUCUUACCAGCUGAUGGGAGCUGGAGUCAAAUAUAUGUUUGACUGUAAGUUAAAGCUUUUAAUACUUUCUGUGACUAUUGGGGUAUUUUUGUUGAUGAAUUGUUAGAUAAUAGGUAUUAAACAUAGAUUAUUUUCUUUAAUGUCCCUUUUGGAGUAGGCAAUAAUAUCCCUUUUGUAGAGAUGAAUAAACGGAAGUUUACAAGAUUUUUCUAAUUCACCCUGAGUCGGACAGCUAUUAAGUGGCAAGAAUGUUUUCAAACAGCCUUCCAUGAGCUGGAUUUCAACUUCAAUCAGUUUAACCGCAGGUUCUUGCCUUUAACCACUAUUUCAUAAGAUUAGGUAAGAUACGAGCUGCUACUGGGAAAUCUGAGAUAGAGAAAAUGUACCAAAUACUAACUUUCCUAAACUUUCUAAUUUCCCAGAAAAGGAAAUCAAUAUGGUUCUGAGUCAGGAAUGGAGAUAUGAGAAGAAAGUGGUCAGUGUUUAGGGAAGCUUGGUAUCAAAGUUUAUCUUGUAUGUCAGAUUCUGUAAUUCUAAAAAUUGGAGUCUUCAUGGAAUUGUUAAGGAAAGGAAAUUAUGUAAGAGUUAGUCAUUUAGAAGUGAAGCCUGUGCAUCACUGGCUAGUAUUUACCAGUGCCAGAGGUCAAAAACUACCACUUCAAGCAUUAGUGGAUUCCCCCUCAAUGAAUUUCUCCCAGGCUGUAGGACCUUAUAACUUUUUUCAAGUCCAGCAAUGUUGCCUUCAUAAGUACUUUUAAUCACAAACAUUCAGUUGGCCACAAACACAUUCCUGUCCAAUUCCCUCAUCUGUGUCUUCUAAAGAGUGAACUGAACUGUUAACUUCUUUUAAACAAACGGAAUAGUUGAAAUGUCUGACUGCUUCCUAUCAGUAUAAAAAUAUGAAUUUGUACAACAUCUGCAACUCAUUUCAGCUGGAUUAAGCUUUACCCAAAGAAGGACAAAAAAAAAAUGUUGUCUGUAACAAGGGAAGACUAAUGUUCUCAAUGGAAAGAAAUGAAUA